rnacentral:rRNA from 1 species
UUAGUGGAAGCGUCUUUAGUGGAAGCGUCUGGAAAGGCGCGCGAUACAGGGUGACAGCCCCGUACACAAAAGCGCAUGUGCUGUGAGCUCGAUGAGUAGGGCGGGACACGUGGUAUCCUGUCUGAAUAUGGGGGGACCAUCCUCCAAGGCUAAAUACUCCUGACUGACCGAUAGUGAACCAGUACCGUGAGGGAAAGGCGAAAAGAACCCCGGCGAGGGGAGUGAAAAAGAACCUGAAACCGUGUACGUACAAGCAGUGGGAGCCCCACCACUAAGCCAGUGGUGAACUCCACAUACGCAUCCUUUGCUGAGGAUACGGUUAACGGAGCGAAAGCGACGUUCAACCUCAAAAGAAGCAGAGGGGGCUUAGUGGUGGGGUGACUGCGUACCUUUUGUAUAAUGGGUCAGCGACUUAUAUUCUGUAGCAAGGUUAACCGAAUAGGGGAGCCGGAGGGAAACCGAGUCUUAAUUGGGCGUUAAGUUGCAGGGUAUAGACCCGAAACCCGGUGAUCUAGCCAUGGGCAGGUUGAAGGUUGGGUAACACUAACUGGAGGACCGAACCGACUAAUGUUGAAAAAUUAGCGGAUGACCUGUGGCUGGGGGUGAAAGGC